GACAGAGGGUGCAAACGUUGUUCGGAAUUACUGGGCGUAAAGCGCGUGUAGGCGGCUAAGUAAGUCGGGCGUGAAAUCCCACGGCUCAACCGUGGAAGUGCACUCGAAACUGCAUAGCUAGAGUCCUGGAGAGGAAGGUGGAAUGCUUGGUGUAGAGGUGAAAUUCGUAGAUAUCAAGCGGAACACCGGUGGCGAAGGCGGCCUUCUGGACAGUGACUGACGCUGAGACGGCGAAAGCG
rnacentral:rRNA from 1 species